AUACCAUGAUGCAGGCAAUUCCUUAACAACUCUUUGAAUAUCUCCCAUGCAUCAUAUGUGAUUCCCCUUCCAUUUGAUAGAAAUUAUUAAAUUCCCCUCUCAACUU